rnacentral:piRNA from 1 species
UAGAAAAGAUGCCUUUUUAUUUCUCUACUC